GCUGAGUUCGCUGGCCGCGUCUGGACGGUACUGGAAUCUUCCCUCUCCCAAUUCGAAAACCCCCUCCUUCGCGAUUUCGUUCCCACCCAAACGCUCACCAAAUCACAAACCAAAACAUCGACCACCAACAAAUACCCUCUACUAAACACAAAGCCCCUCUCCCUUCCUCUCUCCAAUCCUUCCCAUCCAAACGCUCUCAAAAUCAAAUAAAGGAAAAAAAGCCAUGUUUGGCGUCCUCUUCCCAAACCGCAGUUUCCCAAUGGACAUUUCCACCUUCUCUCAGAUCGACACCGUCCAUUGGAUCCUCGACAUGAACACUUUCGUCGGUGAGGCGUAUGAAGACAUCAAGGAGAUGUGCAUCUUCCUCCUCAAUUCCGUCUCCCUGCCGCCGGACAAGGCGCUGGCCGUCUACGUGCAGUCGCCCGGGUCGCCGUUCGUCUUCUGCGGCGCAGUCUCGGUGGCCCGCCCGUCGGCCGUCCUUGCCCUCUCGUGGCCCGAGCCCGGCGGGCAGAUGCAGCUCGCAGCUGCAGACGCCGCGCCGCUCUCUGCCAAGAUCGGGGUCUCCGUCGAGGACCUUGCGGCACUCCCGUCGCUCGACGUGGCCGCUGAGCGGCGGAUCGAGCGGCUUGCGAUGAAGGUCGGGGAGAACUUGUUCAAUUUCAUGCAGAGCUUCUGCAGCGUCGACGGGAGCAGGCUCGUUGUGCCAAUGGAUAUACUGGAUCGCUGGUUCAAGAAGUUCCAGGAGCGGGCGAAGCGGGAUCCAGAGUAUUUAAAGGGCUUUGUGUUGUAGCCAUCAGCUGAGGUGGAAAAAGGUGGAAGCAGAUUUUCUGUACAUGGCUUCCAUGCAAAUUAGCAAAUGUGAGCAGAUGGGAUGGGUUGAGACGUAGCUGCAAACUCUUCGUAGAUGACUGUAUUCAGCAUUCAGUAGGCACCAUUCUAAGGUUUCACGACAGGGUGAUUGGGAAAUCAAAAGUCGUUUUGGGGCUUAAGCUACUUCUGCCUCAAGUAGCUUAUCUAACAGAUUCACGAGCCAAAACAGAGAAAAUUUUGUUUGGUUUCUAACAUCAUGGCCCACCUUUUACACAUAUGACACUUCUACACGUUAGUAGCAGCAGCGACGGGGUCCACAUGACCCCUCCCCCAGCUGCUAUAGCAUUAUCACUGUUGCAAGCUUGGAAGUACGGGUGAUCAUCUGCCGGGCCUAUUGUAUAUUCCCUAUUUAAAUAAAAUAAAAUAAAUAAAUAAAUAAAGUCAAGCCAUUAUCCGAUGUUGAGUUGGAGGUCGCUCAGAUGGAGAAUUCUUUACAUGCUGUGCAUGAUGAUACGGUUGGGAGGAGAUCCUUUUCUCCACCAUACAUACAUCAGUAUUUAAAUCAAAAGAAAACAAAGAAAAGAUACAAACCACAGCAUAGGGAUUAAUGUGGUUUCCUUUCAGAUGGUAAUCUGAUCAACCAUGUUCAAACAUAAAUAGCAAAAAGCAGCUCUCAAUAUAAUGAUAGCUCUCUGUCUCACACACAAAAGAAUAUAUAUUAUCUUAAUUGAAUUAGGGUCUACAUAAAACAUCAUGAAAAUUUAAGAAAUUGAAUCCCCAAGCAAGGGGGUGUAGCCCCUCUUGACCCCCAGUGAACUCAGCACCGAGCUUGACCCAUGAAAGUAUUAGCUGGAUGAACGGUACAUCUCUGAUAAUCAGGCUCCACAUAACCUAACAGGUUAAAUGUCUAAUCACUGGUUUUUUGGCAUGGAAAUUUCUGGCCUGAAUGCUACUUGCAUUACAUCUUAAACUUACCUUUACUUGAAAAAAUCUCCCUGAUUGUGAAAUCUAAUUAUGUAAUUGGCAGAUGAAUUCAAGUUAAAUGAGUAACAUUGUUUAUACCUUCAAUUUUGCAGACUAGCAAUGAGGUUGUGUUGAUUUGUCUAAUGGAAGAAUUGGGUGGGGUGUGGAGCUUCGGUUUUGGAACCUAUCAUAUUAAUGGCCUGAAUCACCUCAAGGUGGGAUUCAUCCAAAAUUUGAUUGGUCUGACUAGACAUGAAUUAUUGCAGAAGUGAGCUCAACUGUACAUGCAGAAGAAAAUAGGAAAAG